rnacentral:snRNA from 1 species
AGAUUUGCACAGUGGCGAUAUUAUAGCCAGUGUGGUUUAUUCGAGGCGUGAUGAUUGCUAAUUGAAAAUGAACAGCACAAGGCA